AUGUGGGUUCGCCUCGGAUAUGCUGCUGGAACCAAUUUUUUCUUCUCUUUUGGUUGAUACGGUGUUCUUAUGGCAAUAAGAUAAUCAACCACAUUAUCGUCCACCUGGAAUGCCUUGGCCAAAACAUCAGGGUUGAUGGGAGGGUUGGAUCCGAAGACUGCAUUCGCAAUGGUGAUCACUCCCGGGUUCUGGCUGCUGAGACCGGCGAUGGCCAAAGCAUUGGUUUUUCCGACAUUGAGUUGGAAGUGAAUGAGACCGAUUGGGAAUACGAACACAUCUCCCUUGUACAACACUUUGGUGAACAGCCGAUUGCCGUCGCCAUUGGAUGUGACAAAUCCGACGUAGAGUGAGCCUUCAACGACUAUGAGGAUCUCCGUGGCACGAGGGUGAGUGUGAGGAGGGUUGAGGCCAUUUGGCGCAAAGUCUACGCGAGCAAAGGAUAUGCCGAGAGUGUUGAGUCCGGGUAUAACAUCCACGUUCGCCGCCGUAACUAUUGAACCGACCGGAUUCGAUGUGUUUCCGGGGUACCGUAGCUUGUCAGAGAAGAAAUCGUUUGCUGAUGCAAGUUUUGGGUCCUUGCAGAACUUCCCGUUCACAAACACUGCUCGCAAUGAUACACACAAGCAAAUUAAUCUUUUUUAUGUACGUAGGUGUUGUACACGUAUGGAUGAUGAGCCAUCAGCCAUGCAAAAUCAUAUAGUCAGGCUUUAGGCCUUGCUAUUUCCUACGUACUCUCUGUACUGAAUGGAAUCUUAAUUAAGGUUAUUGUUUUUACAUAAUUAAAACAUAUAAGUAUACGUACCAGCAGAAUCGGUGUUAUUAAUUGCUACGCAAAAGUCCUGAAGAGGAUCGGGAUCAGAGGCAGAGGCAAGGAGGGUGGCGAAUGCUAACACUGACAGGGCAGCAGCAGUUACAGGGAAAUGAACUCCCUUCAUCGCUAGCUAUGGUCUAUAGGGGAUUAGCAAGGACUUGGAACUUGUACUUAACUAGAUGAUCAGUUGCUUUGAGAAGGAUGAAAAUUAUGUAUGGGGACACUUGUCUAUUUAUAGAUUAGCAAGAGAGACUGAUGAUGAA